UUGGGGAGAGUGAGAGAGAGGUUCCUGGAGGACACAACUCCUGACCUUGGCUCUCUCCAGAUGGAGUGGGAAGUUGACUCAAAUUGCCUACUUUGGUUCUUGUUGUUUCUGAGCGAUUCCAGACAUCUCAUUGCCAUCUAUUGACUCCUGAGAAGACUCUAAUUGAGUUGGAUUUUCUAAGUUAACCUCAUGUGAGCUGAGCCUACAGACUGUGGUGGCUGUCAUUUCUGUCACCUUCUUCCUGAUUGAUCAAUGAGCUCUGACCUAAAUCCAACGACUGUUUGGAUGGGCUUACCUCAGUUUAUUUAGACAGGAAGGUGGGAACUAGAUAGAGAGGGAGGCAGAGUAGGUCCAAUGGUAUUGGACAGGGAAGAGACCCAUGAGGGUCAGAGGAAACUGGGACAGAUAGAUGGGGAAAAGAUUAGGGAUCUUCCUAGCCCAACAUCCUUUCCUAAUUCAUGACUAUCAACCUGAAUAAACAUACUUCCGGUUCUACUAGAAAGUCAGGCCAGGUUUGGGAGUGAACUCUAGGACUGAGGGUACCCUUGGGCCAGGGAGAAGCAGCUAAACAGCAACAAUAAUCAACCAAUCUUAUCACUGGUCUAAUUUACCACUUAACAACAGCAAGCCCCAAGAACUCUCUUCUUAAAGGGUUCAAAUCCAAUGGUCUUUUCUCUCAAACUUCUUAACCUCCCUACAGUAUUUGACCAUCCUCACUAUUCUCUUAUGAUAGAGAUGCUUUCCCUUCUCUGAAAUAGCUCUCUCAGUAUCCCUUCUAUUUAACCAUUCUUUCUCUAUUUCCUUUUUCAUAUGACAGACCAUAACUGUGGUACUGUCUUGGGCCUUCUCUUUUUUCUCUAUGCUUUCUCACUUGGUGACUUCAUCAGUUGCCACAAAUUUAUUUGUCAUUUUUAUUCAGAUUCUUAUUUUUUAAAAAUAUUUUUAUUUCUUUAAGUAUUUCCCAAUUGCAUUUUUUAAAGUUUUGACAUUCUUUUAUUUAGUUACUUUUUUUUUUGCUGAGGCAUGAAGCCUACUUUCCUUUUAUUUAACAUUCUUUUAAAAUAUUUUAUUUCAUUAAUAUUUUCUGACAUACAAACAUUUUUAACAUUCAUUUUUUGAAAUUUUGAGUUCAUUCUUAAUUCUUUCUUCCUCCUGUCCUUCCUCUUCCCCUCUGAUACUGAUUAUAUGUCAUGUGAAGUCAUGUAAAACAUAUUUCCAUAUUAGUCAUAUUACGAAAGGAAGCACACAUACAAAGAAAAAAGAAAAAGAAAGUAAAAAAGCAUGUUUGUCUUGGGCAGAUGAUUCUUAACUUUUAUAAUCCAGCACUAAUCUCCUCACCCAAAACCACCAUUCUUUUAACAUCCUUAUUUCUUCCUAUUAGAAUGUGGUUCUUUGUGAGCAGGGGCUUGAUGCUUUUCUAUUUGCAUCCCCAAUGCUUAGCAUGAUGCCUUAUGCACAGUAAGCAUUUAGUAAAUGCCGAUUCAUUCAUUUGUGUCAUUCAGGUUCACAACCUCCAUGUGAUCUGUCAUUUCAUAUUCCCUCUCUACUGCCUAUCCAAUGAGUUGCCAAAGUUUUUUGUUUUUUCUUUCACCAUAUUUCUCACUUCUAUCCCCUUCUUUUGGACUAGGCCAUCUGGUCAAGGGCUACUCAUCCACCUUUCCCCCAACUCACACCAGUAGCUCCAAGUUGUAUUUUGGGCAGUAGCCAUACCCCAGUUAAACUCUCUUGGCAGAUGGACUAAACCAGACUGAAGGGAAUCAAGAAGCCUCAAAACCAUUAGUGAGUUAGGGGAUGUUUGUUCUAAGAGACUUUCAAUAAUUUGUUCAAAGGGUCAUGAAGGCAACUGAGGAGUACCUAGAGCAUGGUCCGACAUCAAAGACCCCGAGGAGGUCGUUUGCAACCUUCUUGAUUUUGGUCUUGCCACUGGACUUUGAGGAUUCUGGACAUCAGAGUGAGGCUGACAACUCUGCCCAACUCUGCCUCCCUUAAAUCAAAUCUACAGUCAAGUUGAGACCUCACUUUCAUUCCCACUCCUAUGUCUUUGGUCCUUUUCAAAAAUAAAGGACAAGAUGGCAGCUGUUUGGUUCAAUGAAUGGAGAGCCAGGCCUAGAGAGGGGAGGUCCUAGGUUCAAAUAUGGCCUUAGAUAUUUCCUAGCUGUGUGGCCCUGGGAAAGUCAAUUAAUCCCCAUUUGCCUAGACAUUACCUGAGUUUUUCUUCUAUCUUGGAACCAGUAUAGAGUAUUAAUUCUAAGAUGAAACAUAAGGAUUUAAAAACAACAACAAAGAACAAACAAUAACUCAAACGCUAGUUCAAGCCUUUGUCAACUCAUGACUUAUCUUGCCUGGACUAUUGCCACAGCCUCCAGGUCUACAACUACCAUCUACUCUCCAAAGUCCUGAACUCUUUUUUCCUCACUUGUGAUAUCUGCUACUUUCUUUUUUCCCACAAAUCUCCUGACUAAAAGGGGAGGGGAUGAGUUUGAGAGUUUGGAGACUGUCCACUUGGUGGCUUAGCCUCCUUCCCUUAAGUCUUUCAACCCCAAAUGAAGGCUACACUUUCACAUAAUAAUUAAAAUAUCAGCAGAGGUUUUUGAUUUUUUUUUCCAUUUAUACUUAUCAAUGAAAGUGACUAGAUGGGAACAGGAAUUUCCAGGAGCCUAGAGUGAAUUGUCAGAGCUGUUAAUUUAGAGAGAAUUACCAAAGGGUCAUCAAUUGUUAUGCUGAGUGGGGCAUUUAAAAACCAAGAAAUAGAAUCCCUUUUUUGUUGUCAGACUGGGCAGGAGAGGCAGAAUAGGGAGAGAGCACUGCAACUUUGCUAGAGCCCGCAGAAAGUGCUUCUGAAGACUAGGCAAAGAAGAAAGUAGAGACAAAAUUGACUACAAGUUGACUGUGGCGUUGACUUUCCUGAAAAGUUCUCCUGAGUAUGCUUGGCAAUACCUGGCUGGAGAUUGGAAGAAGUUUUCAGAUCUUCACUAAAGGAAUCCUUGAGGGAUGCAGGUAGACACCAGGGAGUUUCUUCUAGUAUCUUUAUACCACGGAGCCAUCUUUCAAGGAUGAUUGAUUUGUUAUACAAGGAAGUCUACUUCAUUAUCUCUGUUCUUACAGAUGCAGCUGAACUCAAUAAACAUUUCUUCGUCACAGGA